rnacentral:piRNA from 1 species
UGGAAAAAUGUUCUGGUGUCUUCUGAUGUC